rnacentral:rRNA from 1 species
AUAGCAUAUCACCCUGCAGCCCAAGACUGGUUGCCCACUGAAGCUAAGCAGGGUUGAGCCUGGUCAGUACCUGGAUGUGAGACCUGUUGGGAAAACUAGGUUGCUGUU